AUUGCUUAGGUUGCCUUUAAGUUCCGAUGUAGAUAGCUUCUUUGAUCCCUCUUUAUAUUAGUUGUCUGCUUAUUCUACAGGCAACUUGGGAUACUUGGCAUCCACGUGGCGGAAACUGUGAUCGCUUUCUUCGUCACUCUGUGGAAGGACAUCUCCGGACCAGCGCGGCUGAAGUGGCUCCUGCAGACCUUCGUGUUCGGGAUCUUCUCUCUGGUUCCGCUCUUCAUGUUCAAACCUGCCGUGGAGAAAAAAGUCAAGUAGAUAAUAAGGAAUCAAACGUUUGCUUUUCACGUUUUUACAAAGUGUUGCUCAACUAAGCUACAAUUAGAGAACAGAUUUUGUUUUUAACAUGUAAUCUUAUCUCUAAAUGGUAACGCUCAUCACUGAUGUUCAAACCUGCGGUGGAGAAAAAAGUCAAAUAGUCACUAGCAGAUUCAAAGUGUUGCUCAAGAUAGAUAAGUAACAUUAUUGGAAGAUUACAAAACAGAUUUAGUUUCCAAUGUGUAAUCUGAUCUCUAGUACUACGUAUACAUGGUUACGUUUAUCAAGUAACAAUUUCAAACCUGCCGUGGAGAAAAAAGUCAAAUAGACUGGAGAAUCAUACAUUUGCCUUUCGCGUUUUUAUAAAGUGUUGCUUAACUUGGACAUGUACAAUUUUAGAGAACAGAUUUUGUUUUUUUAACUUGUGGUUUUGUCUUUGCAUGGUUUUAUCUUUGCAUGGUAAAUAUGUUCAAAAAUGGCUGACGGAAAAGUCAAGGAUCCGGAGUAACUGGUGAAUCCGACGUUUUCAAGCAAAGUUUCAAACCAUACUGAUUACUGUAAAUCGUACAAAGCAGCUGCAACAUGAGCUCGUAUAUGCCGUGGAUUGCAAAAAAAUAUAUAGGAAAAUGUACCUUAAUAGCAUAAAAUGUCACCAUCAAUUCAGCGCCAAAGAAGAUGUGCAAGAAUAAAAUGCAGAAUCUGUUGUGAUAUAA